rnacentral:lncRNA from 1 species
CUAGCAUUUGUGGGGUGGAAUUUGCUGCUCUCCUAGCUUGUCGUCAUCCCGUUCGCUGCCCAUAACACGGUAAACAAUUCGUAAUACUUUUACUCAUUUCGAGUUCGAUAUGUUGGUGUGAAAUCCUGCUCUUUGCCGACUUUGAUAUGACUCUAUGUAAUGUGUUUAAAUCUUAGUCUUUACUGUCUCUUCAUCCUCUCUCUGAAGUUGGUGAUAUGUUUUUUUUUCUUUAAGUUGAUUUAAUGACUGUUCGAGUCCGCUUCUCUGUUCUGUGUUCUUUUCGAACCAGCGGCUAUUGUACUCUCUUUAAAUUUUGACUCAUUUCAUUGAUCAAUCAGGGCACUAUUCUAUUCUCAUUUUGUUGAACUAGUAUUCAUGUUUUUGUUGUGUGUUUGGAGGGAGUCAAAUGCAUUAGCUAGCUGAACAUUCUAUUUCUUAUGAAUAUAAGUUGAAUUUUGAGAUUGUGUUCUUUAAUUUCUUUUAAUCUGUCCAUAUCCUGUUCUGGGAGAAAAUCCUUCAUAUAUGUUCCCGAGUUAUGUGCUGCUCACUGCCUUGCCCCAAGAAAUUUGAACUCUUCUUCUGUGUCUGUACCGUCUCGAGAUAGCCGUGCCUUGAAUUUUUGGGAAUGCCGGC